UGAAUGACAACAGAAGAACGCCCUCAUAAAUAUCAGAUCGUCGUUUAUCCGAUAGCACCCUUACUACUGGGAUAGCGGUGGUAAUUACUAGAGCUAAUACAUGCUCACAGCCCCGAUCUUCUGGAAGGCGGCGAGUUUAUUAGAUAAAAAACCCGACGAUGUUGGUGAUUCAUGAUACCCUUUCGAAUCGCGAGCGAUCGCGAUGGUUCAUUCAAAUUUCUGCCCUAUCAAUUGACCCGUAGGGUAGUGGCCUACGGUGAUUUCUACGGGUAACGGGGAAUAAGGGUUCGAUUCCGGAGAGGGAGCCUGAGAAACGGCUACCACAUCCAAGGAAGGCAGCAGGCGCGCAAAUUACCCAAUCCCGACACGGGGAGGUAGUGACAAUAAAUAACGAUGCGGGGCACGUAUGUGUUUCGCAAUUGGAAUGAGUACAAUGUAAAUACCUUAACGAGGAACAAUUGGAGGGCAAGCCUGGUGCCAGCAGCCGCGGUAAUUCCAGCUCCAAAAGCGUAUAUUAAAGUUGUUGCAGUUAAAAAGCUCGUAGUUGAUUUUCGACGCAUGCGAGGGGUCCACUUCGGUGCGUACUCCGAGGGUGCGUUUUCUCUGGGGCGCCUUGUGGCAAGCCAGACUGUUACUUUGAAAAAAUUAGAGUGUUCAAAGCGGGCGAUAGCUUGAAUAUAUUAGCAUGGAAUAAUAGAAUAGGACGGAUGGAUCUAUUUUGUUGGUUUCUAGAACCAUCGUAAUGAUUAAUGGGCAUCGGCGGGGAUACCAA
rnacentral:rRNA from 1 species